rnacentral:rRNA from 4 species
AAGACCAAAGAGGGGGACCUUCGGGCCUCUUGCCAUCAGAUGUGCCCAGAUGGGAUUAGCUAGUUGGUGAGGUAACGGCUCACCAAGGCGACGAUCCCUAGCUGGUCUGAGAGGAUGACCAGCCACACUGGAACUGAGACACGGUCCAGACUCCUACGGGAGGCAGCAGUGGGGAAUAUUGCACAAUGGGCGCAAGCCUGAUGCAGCCAUGCCGCGUGUAUGAAGAAGGCCUUCGGGUUGUAAAGUACUUUCAGCGGGGAGG